ACUUGAUGCUUUUCUCUCCUGCCGUUGUUUCUCUCUCUACUGGCUGCAUCUAUCUCCCGCGUAAUCUCCCCCAGUUCGCGCGUGAUUUGUGAACAAACUUGAGAGAUCUAGUGUCAGUUCGUAAAGACCAUGUUGUUAGUUAUUGCAAGAAGUUAGUUUGCUCUUGGCGGCUUUAGGGACCUCCAAAUUUUAGAAGUUUCUGGGAUUGCUGCGUUGCUGUUGCCUGGUUUCUUUGCCACAAGUUGGUAAAUUAUUUUGUUGGGGUUAUUCUGUUUUUAAUAUAUACUUGGUGGCUUGGAUUAUUGGUCUCUAAUAGUUCUGGUAUGCUGGUUGUUUUGCUAUAGUUUUUGAAGAAGGAAGUUGUUAUUUUGUUGGCUCUUUGCUGACUGGUGCGGCUGGCUUAUGUGGGGAUCUAGUGUAGAUUGCUUUUAUUUGUAGAUUAGUUGUGUGCGGAAGUGGCAUUGUCUUUGUGUUUUCGAAAUUUCUAGUUAGAUCUGGUGCUUGAAGAAUUCUGUUAUGAGUGUUCCUGUGGAGGAGUAUUUUUAAUUCUUGGCAGAGAGUUUUUGGUUGCUUUAGAGGUCUGGUAUGGAAGUUAUUCUCAUUCUUGCUAUGGCUGGGUUGUUCUGGGUCUCGUGUUCUUGUUGCUGCUGUGAUUGAGUUCUGCAAAUCGAGAUAUUUUUGGCUGAUUUUAGGAGAAUUUUUAUUUUUAGUCAUAUUGAUUAUUUGUUUGUUGUGGCAGUUGCAGUUUCGACAAGUCCAGGGGCGUUGUUGCUUGGGUGUUUCUAGUUUUGUGUAUUUUCUGCAUGUUGUGUUUUUUCAGUGGAGUUGGCCGUGGGUUUCGGGUAGAAUGCUAGUGUGCAUCCAGAGUGUUUUAGUGAAUUGUUUUGUGGCACUCGGCUUGUUUUCAGUUCUUUAUUGUUGGGAUGGUGUAUGUUCUGCAGGUUGGAGUUUUAUUGUUUUCUCUGGGAAGACUUGUCUGCUGUGCUUGGUAGUCGUUUAUUUAAAUUAUUUCAGCUGCUUUUGUCUCCUCUGGGAGUCUAAUGUUGAGGGUUUUAAUGUUAAUCAAUACUUCUGCUCCAUUUUAUGCUUCCGAGGCUGCUGCUAUUUUAUUGAUUGGGGUUCAGGAGUUGGUGUUUUAUUUGUAAAUCAAUGUAUCUGGUUCAUAAUUUAGGUGGUAGCUCCCUUGAUUGAUUUAGAGGUGGAGCAGCUGUGUGGGAGGUCUAGCACUCAUAAUCAGUGGAGUGAUUGCUUUUUAUCUAUCUGGAGGUGUUCGCUUGUGUUCAUCUGGUUGGCUUUUUUUUUUCUUUUCUCCGUUGGAGGCUUUGUAUUUUCAACUUUUAGUAUUGUUUUGGUGUUGCCUCUUUGAGUGAUGUUCUUAGAGGGAUUUUUUUUU